rnacentral:rRNA from 1 species
AGCGAACGCUGGCGGCAGGCUUAACACAUGCAAGUCGAGCGCCCGUAGCAAUACGGGAGCGGCAGACGGGAGAGUAACACGUGGGAACAUGCCCUUCGGUUCGGAAUAAACUCAGGGAAACUUGAGCUAAUACCGGAUACGUCCGUAAGGAGAAAGAUUUAUCGCCGAAGGAUUGGCCCGCGUCCGAUUAGCUUGUUGGUGAGGUAAUGGCUCACCAAGGCGACGAUCGGUAGCUGGUCNGAGAGGAUGAUCAGCCUCACUGGGACUGAGACACGGCCCAGACUCCUACGGGAGGCAGCAGUGGGGAAUAUUGGACAAUGGGCGAAAGCCUGAUCCAGCCAUGCCGCGUGGGUGAUGAAGGCCUUAGGGUUGUAAAGCCC